rnacentral:miRNA from 1 species
UCGGGAAGGCAGUUGCGGCGGAUU